rnacentral:rRNA from 1 species
UAGGUGACCUGCGGAGGACAUUA